AUUGAACGCUGGCGGCAGGCCUAACACAUGCAAGUCGAGCGGGUGAAGCGAGCUUGCUCCUGGAUUCAGCGGCGGACGGGUGAGUAAUGCCUAGGAAUCUGCCUGGUAGUGGGGGAUAACGUCCGGAAACGGGCGCUAAUACCGCAUACGUCCUGAGGGAGAAAGUGGGGGAUCUUCGGACCUCACGCUAUCAGAUGAGCCUAGGUCGGAUUAGCUAGUUGGUGGGGUAAAGGCCUACCAAGGCGACGAUCCGUAACUGGUCUGAGAGGAUGAUCAGUCACACUGGAACUGAGACACGGUCCAGACUCCUACGGGGGGCAGCAGUGGGGAAUAUUGGACAAUGGGCGAAAGCCUGAUCCAGCCAUGCCGCGUGUGUGAAGAAGGUCUUCGGAUUGUAAAGCACUUUAAGUUGGGAGGAAGGGCAGUAAGUUAAUACCUUGCUGUUUUGACGUUACCAACAGAAUAAGCACCGGCUAACUUCGUG
rnacentral:rRNA from 1 species